AACGAACGCUGGCGGCAUGCUUAACACAUGCAAGUUGAACGCAGAAUAGGACUUCGGUUCUAUUGCUGAGUAGCAAACGGGUGAGUAACGCGUGGGAAUCUACCUUUUUGUGGGGGAUAACUGAGGGAAACUUCAGCUAAUACCGCAUAAGCUCUACGGAGGAAAGGCUUCGGCCGCAAGAAGAGGAGCCCGCGUCAGAUUAGGUAGUUGGUAGGGUAAAAGCCUACCAAGCCAAUGAUCUGUAGCUGGUCUGAGAGGAUGAUCAGCCACACUGGGACUGAGACACGGCCCAGACUCCUACGGGAGGCAG
rnacentral:rRNA from 1 species